UACGGAGGGGGCUAGCGUUGUUCGGAAUUACUGGGCGUAAAGCGCACGUAGGCGGCUUUGUAAGUUAGCGGUGAAAGCCCGGGGCUCAACUCCGGAAUUGCCUUUAAGACUGCAUCGCUAGAAUUGUGGAGAGGUAAGUGGAAUUCCGAGUGUAGAGGUGAAAUUCGUAGAUAUUCGGAAGAACACCAGUGGCGAAGGCGACUUACUGGACACAUAUUGACGCUGAGGUGCGAAAGCGUGGGGAGCAAACAGG
rnacentral:rRNA from 1 species